GUGAGGAAUAUUGGACAAUGGGCGCAAGCCUGAUCCAGCCAUGCCGCGUGCAGGAAGACGCAUCUAUGGUGUGUAAACUGCUUUUGUACGGGAAGAAACACUCCCUCGUGAGGGAGCUUGACGGUACCGUAAGAAUAAGGAUCGGCUAACUCCGUGCCAGCAGCCGCGGUAAUACGGAGGAUCCAAGCGUUAUCCGGAAUCCUUGGGUUUAAAGGGUCCGUAGGCGGUUUAAUAAGUCAGUGGUGAAAGCCCAUCGCUCAACGAUGGAACGGCCAUUGAUACUGUUAGACAUGAAUUACAAGGAAGUAACUAGAAUAUGUAGUGUAGCGGUGAAAUGCUUAGAUAUUACAUGGAAUACCAAUUGCGAAGGCAGGUUACUACUUGUGGAUUGACGCUGAUGGACGAAAGCGUGGGGAGCGAACAGGAUUAGAUACCCUGGUAGUCC
rnacentral:rRNA from 1 species